GAUGAACGCUGGCGGCGCGCCUAACACAUGCAAGUCGAACGAUUAAAGCACCUUCGGGUGUGUAUAAAGUGGCGAACGGCUGAGUAACACGUGGGCAACCUGCCCCUUUCAUUGGGAUAGCCACGGGAAACCGUGGAUAAUACCGAAUACUUCGAGACUUCCGCAUGGAAGACUCGAGAAAGCUCCGGCGGGGAGGGAUGGGCCCGCGGCCUGUCAGCUUGUUGGUGGGGUAACGGCCUACCAAGGCAAUGAGGGGUAGCUGGGUUGAGAGACCGACCAGCCAGAUUGGGACUGAGACACGGCCCAGACUCCUACGGGAGGCAGCAGUGGGGAAUCUUGCACAAUGGGCGGAAGCCUGAUGCAGCGACGCCGCGUGCGGGAUGAAGGCCUUCGGGUUGUAAACCGCUUUCAGCAGGGACGAGGCGAAAGUGACGGUACCUGCAGAAGAAGCCCCGGCUAACUACGUG
rnacentral:rRNA from 1 species